UUUAUAUUCUCUGGUGUCAUUCAGCAAUUUCAUGAGAGCGAGACAAUGGAUUGAGAAGCAAUAAAGGAAAUUCUUCCCGUUCUUUAAGAUAAGGAAACCAGGACCCAUGGAGGUCAAGGUCUAUGGACUGUGGUUUUGUGUGUCUUCCUUUCUCUGUGAUGACCCCACAGGAACUGAUUCCAACAAAGUUAGCUGCAGAUCCAUCUCCCACUUUGCUUACGAUGAAAAGAUUGUUUGAACCUUCUUACCCAGGCUUUGGAAUAUUAUUCUAAAAGUCAAAAGUGUUUUAGAGUCAAAUGCUAAAUGACUUCAAAACUGAAGAUGAAGAACUGAAGCCCAUAAAGAUUAUGCAAGGUUCCCAUGGCCACACAUUCAAUGCAAGAGGCAGAAGUUGAACCCAAGUAUCCCAAGGCAAGAGCCAGAAGUUGAAUCCAUACCAACA